ACGGAGGAUGCGAGCGUUAUCCGGAUUCAUUGGGUUUAAAGGGUGCGUAGGCGGACUAUUAAGUCAGUGGUGAAAUCCUGCAGCUUAACUGCAGAACUGCCAUUGAUACUGAUAGACUUGAGUUUGGUUAAGGUAGGCGGAAUGUGUGAUGUAGCGGUGAAAUGCGUAGAUAUUAGGCAGAACACCGAUGGCGAAGGCAGCUUACUGAGCCGACACUGACGCUGAGGCACGAAAGCGUGGGGAUCGAACAG
rnacentral:rRNA from 1 species